UGGGGAAUAUUGGACAAUGGGCGAACGCCUGAUCCAGCCAUGCCGCGUGUGUGAAGAAGGUCUUCGGAUUGUAAAGCACUUUAAGUUGGGAGGAAGGGCAGUAAGUUAAUACCUUGCUGCUUUGACGUUACCGACAGAAUAAGCACCGGCUAACUCUGUGCCAGCAGCCGCGGUAAUACAGAGGGUGCAAGCGUUAAUCGGAAUUACUGGGCGUAAAGCGCGCGUAGGUGGUUUGUUAAGUUGGAUGUGAAAGCCCCGGGCUCAACCUGGGAACUGCAUCCAAAACUGGCAAGCUAGAGUACGGUAGAGGGUGGUGGAAUUUCCUGUGUAGCGGUGAAAUGCGUAGAUAUAGGAAGGAACACCAGUGGCGAAGGCGACCACCUGGACUGAUACUGACACUGAGGUGCGAAAGCGUGGGGAGCAAACA
rnacentral:rRNA from 1 species